rnacentral:rRNA from 1 species
UACGAAGGGGGCUAGCGUUGUUCGGAAUCACUGGGCGUAAAGCGCACGUAGGCGGAUGUGCCGGUCAGGGGUGAAAUCCCGGAGCUCAACUUCGGAACUGCCUCUGAUACAGCACGUCUUGAGUCCGGAAGAGGUGGGUGGAAUUCCUAGUGUAGAGGUGAAAUUCGUAGAUAUUAGGAAGAACACCGGUGGCGAAGGCGGCCCACUGGUCCGGUACUGACGCUGAGGAGCGAAAGCUAGGGGAGCAAACGGG